AUUGAACGCUGGCGGCAGGCUUAACACAUGCAAGUCGAGCGGGGGAAGGUAGCUUGCUACCGGACCUAGCGGCGGACGGGUGAGUAAUGCUUAGGAAUCUGCCUAUUCGUCGGGGACAACAUCACGCAAGGGAUCGUAAUACCGCAUACGUCCCACGGGAGAAAGCAGGGGCCCGUCGGACCUUGCGCUAAUAGAUGAGCCUAAGUCGGAUUAGCUAGUUGGUGGGGUAAAGGCCUACCAAGGCGACGAUCUGUAGCGGGUCUGAGAGGAUGAUCCGCCACACUGGGACUGAGACACGGCGCAGACUCCUACGGGAGGCAGCAGUGGGGAAUAUUGGACAAUGGGGGGAACCCUGAUCCAGCCAUGCCGCGUGUGUGAAGAAGGCCUUAUGGUUGUAAAGCACUUUAAGCGAGGAGGAGGCUACUCUAGUUAAUACCUAGGGAUAGUGGACGUUACUCGCAGAAUAAGCACCGGCUAACUCUGUGCCAGCCGCCGCGGUAA
rnacentral:rRNA from 1 species